AAGACCUGUUCUUUCGCUGUUCUGUUUUUCUGAUUGGGUGUGGUGUGUUAUAUCAUCUAAGCGCGUUUAAUAGUGAUUGGUGAACAACUCAUCAUAAGUGGCGAAGGAGCCAAUCAGAGAAGAGUGCGUUGUAAAAUUGAUGAUAAAUGCAACAGUAACCAUACGUAACAUAUUUUCAUAACAGCAGCUGGCGAACACAAGUCUUGGAUAGUCAGGGCGCAUCCGGAUAGACAACAGUCUCAUUCAUAACCUGUAAACGCUUGUGUUUCAAGUCAAACUGCUGUAUAGGAAACGGAAUACAGUAGAAACUGUACAUUCUGUACAUCAUGGUAUGACUUCUGAUAAAAGCCAGCGUCUAUGUGGUGCGCAAGAUCAGAGCUUCUCUUAAAGAGGGAGAGCAAACAGAACAACCUGUUCUCACACCAUGUAGCCUGGCUAAAGGU